GAUGAAGAACGUAGCGAAAUGCGAUAAGUAGUGUGAAUUGCAGAAUUCCGUGAAUCAUCGAAUCUUUGAACGCACAUUGCGCCCCCCGGCAUUCCGGGGAGCAUGCCUGUUCGAGCGUCUCCAGGACGAAUCCUCGCGCGAGUGAACGCGCGGUCGUGGCGGAGGUGGCGUGCCCGAGCAGGGCGGCCACCGCGCUGGAAUCCAUGGGCGGACGCCUGCCGCGUGGCCGAGCGUGAUAUGACGCAUUGGCGCUCGUGCGCGGCGAGGCUGCCAGCCCUGGCCCGUCUGUCGGGCGGGGUAGAUCACCACGUGGGAACUCCUCGAAUCAGGUAGGGAUACCCGCUGAACUUAAGCAUAUCAAUAAGCGGAGGA
rnacentral:misc_RNA from 1 species